AAACUACAGACGUUACACACAUACCUGAACAUUCAUUUUUAUGACAGGGUCUUUUGAAUUUUCAGCUUCAAUAUCAACUAUUCGAAUCCUCAAAAAAGGCCCAGAUCCUGUUUGCGAGAUACUGUUUUCUCCAGUAGUGGAUGAGGCUGCAGACGGAUUCAUCGUGGCUUCAGCUAUCAAGCGAUCUGCUUCAAAAACAGGUGUUUCGUUUAUAUUUCCAUUAACUGAUCCAACAUUCGCGUCUUCUGAAGAAGGUUCAACUGAUAUGGAGCCAGGCAUAUCAGUAUGAAUAGGAACAUCUUGAAAGCCUUUGUCAUCAAGGGUGGAAAAGCCUCCGCUGAAAACGUGAGAAUUCAUUAAAUCAUCUGUGCUGUGUUGAGAUGACAUUGGUCAAGCGAUUGUUGUCUAUCAAACGUGAUAAUAAUUAGAUUUGGAUUCAACAAACACAAAGCAAGAAAGUAGCAGCUAUAACU